AUGCAAAAGGAGAACCAGCCUUUGUGUGCCUCCAGGAACAUGGCUGAGAAACCCUGCCUAAAAAGGCAACAUUUGUUGUCUGCUGAAAUCGAAAAACUCAAGGCAAAUCCAAAAUAUCUACAUCUACAUUUUUAUUUUAUUUUAUUUAUUCUUUGUAUAAAGCGUUGUUUCAGACUACUGGGCAAAAACCAUCCAAACAAUUGUAUUUAUAUUUUUUUUUUACGUUUGUUUGUUCGUUCAGUCAGUCAUUCAGUCAUUUAUUUAAUCAGUACAUCCAAUUAAUUACAGUAAUUUAUUUUGAAUAUGUUGAUUUUAAUUACAGUACUGUUCUUUAAAUGCAGUUUACUCUCCAUCACUGAUCCAGAAAUUUCCUGUUUUAUUUAUAUUUAUAUUCUGAAGGUUCUUGCAUAGGAGUUUAUUCAAAUUUAAUUUAAUUUAAUUUAAUUUAAUUUAAUUUAAUUUAAUUUAAUUUAAUUUAAUUUAAUUUAAUUUAAUUUUUGACUUAAAGAGUGAUAUUAAGCAAUAUCCAAAAUCCCCUCUUUUAAAAUAUUUGACAACAACAACAACAACAACAACAACAAUAAUAAUAAUAAUAAUAAUAAUAAUAAUAAUAAUAAUAAUAAUAAUAAUAAUAAUAAUAAUAAAAUUAAUAAAUAAUAAUAAAAUUAAUAAAUAAAUAAUAAUAAUUGAACCUGGCUUUAUCCAAUGUUUUGAUUUCUGUUUUGGAAAUGAAUUCAGAUUAUUGCAUAUUCAUUCAAAAAUGCUGAUUUUGCAUAUUUAAACAUUUUUACAUUUCAGAAAAACAUUGUAAUCAAUUGACUGGGUAAGUAUGGUGAUAUCCAUUGUGUGUGUGUGUGUGUGUGUGUGUGUGUGUGUGUGUGUGUGGGUUUCUUUUUUCUUUUUUACCUGGGGUGUCUUGCCUUAAGUGCAUGACUUCAAGGGGUCAGUCCAUGACAUUUGAAUCCUUCGUUGGUCAUAUAUUUUUUGUGCUAUGUGAAUUCACAGGUCAGAGGUUACCAAACAGACACAAUUUCUUUGCAUGAGCUUGCAUCAGUCGAGUCUCCAACAGUGACAUGCCUAUGAAUGCAAAUGAAUGGAGCUUCAAGUCUAGUGAGUUACACUGGGCUUGACACCUCAUUCACUUCAUUCAGUUUAGGAUGACACAAGCUGCAAACAUUUAGUGGGAUAAAUAAAUGCCUAAUGCAGAUCUAAGGAACUAAAGGCCUAAUGGUGUUUUAUAAUGAAAGCAGAGAAUGAACAGUUCAUGCAAAACAGACCAACCCCAGGGAAAGAUAAAACACAACGCCCCGUCAGCAAACACCCACUGACUGAAACACGGAUGCAUGACUGCACAACACCUCCCUUGAAUCUGAAUGAAACAUGACCACUGGAGGAAUAUAACAGGCAUGAAGCUUGUCCAACGAAAUUUCAAUCGGCCACGUAACAUCUAUCAUAUUCAUAUCACAUAGCACUUCCUGAGACUUCUCAUAUGGAACAUGCUUAGUAUCCAUAAAACCAGCCACAAAGCUUCUUUAGCUUUUCCCUCUUUGACCAGUAAGCAAUCUCAACCAAUCUAAAACAUUAUUUAACCAACUAGAAUGUAAACUAUUGCUUUUAAAACAUUUUCAGAAAUGGAAUUAAAAUGAUUUCCACAAUGUUAAUGUUAAACUAAAAUAACAAAUAUAAAGUUGCUAAAAAUUUAUGCAUUUUACAAAAAAAGAAAAGAAAAAAAGUGUCAGACCAACCUAAAUUUUGUUAUUACAUUGUAAUUACUCUUGUAAUUGCAUUUCACACAGUAUUAAAGUCAAAAUAAAUUUGGAGAAACAAACAAGUACCCAUAUUCUUCUGAAUUUGUCCUUUUCUCAGCACUUUCUACAUUUUUCAUGAGUUGUUUAUUUUCCUAACAGUUUGCCUCAAUUGUUUACUUGGUAUUGCAGAUGUCAGUAUGCUCAAAAAGCAGCAGAGUUUAAAGCUUUUUUGAAAUUCAGGGUCUUUGAUACGGCUCUGCUGUUUCCUAGCAUUCUCUUCUGCCGCUGUGCACACAAACACAUAAUCUUUUAUUAAUCUCUGCUUCUGCUUCUCCAAUCAUCUCGAACCCCCCAGUCAAAACAAAAUAAACAAACCACCCGAAUUCUGUCUGCCGUCACCCCUCCAGCCCUCUGAGGGAAAUCUGAGGGAUUGCCUGGUUGUCAGAACAUGGCUCCACCUCUCAGACUUCUCCAGAAAACUUUAGAGAGAGUUAUGUGAGGUUAGAGAAGGAGUGAACAUCUCUUUAGAUAAAAGCAUUGGGAUUAUGGUUCCAGCCAUUUAUCCACAGCUUUGAUUAAUGCCUUGUUUGUAUUUGAACUCUUUGGGUACAGAACAGAACAAUGUUUUAAGGAGGGAACUUAACAACGAGGAACAGAUUCGGAAUCGAUUCACUAUAUGGCGUCUCAUCUAGAGUACAAUGUAUUCAGAUCAUGUCCCAUUGUUUAAAAUGCAGCCAGCAGCAUUAAAAUUAUCACUAAUGUGUGCUAUAACAGCCAUGCCUAUUACACAAUGAAUGCAAAUGCAUAUGAUUGCUUUUUGACAUCGCAUUUACAUUCAUUUCCACUGACUAUGAUUUGCUGUUGAUCCAUUGUUUGCCAUCUUCAACUCAGAGUGAACCCUCACUAGAACAGAGAUUUAACAACUCCAGGAAAGUUCUUUAAGAUGAUCAUUGGCUGUUGGUAUAAAAGAGCUCUGUCUGGAAGUUUUUAAAGUUUAAAAGGGGUCAUAUGGCGUUGCUAAAAAGAACAUUAUUUUGUGUAUUUGGUGCAAUGCAAUGUGUUUAUGCGGUGGGACCGUACUCCCAGGGGAGCGGAAAUAAAAAUCCCAUGUGUGGGACCGUACUACUUAAAGGGUUAAAAUAGUGGUUGAGUGGCUGCAAGGCAGUUGUUAGGGUGUUCUGGCUGGUUUCUAGGGCAUGGCCAAGAUAUUGGCCAAGAUAUCCUGCUAUUCAAUGUUAGGUGGUAGCAGAGUGCUCUGACUGGCUGUUUUUGGUCAUAACUAGAAUA
ensembl:lncRNA